UAGGGAAUCUUCGGCAAUGGACGAAAGUCUGACCGAGCAACGCCGCGUGAGUGAAGAAGGUUUUCGGAUCGUAAAACUCUGUUGUUAGAGAAGAACAAGGACGUUAGUAACUGAACGUCCCCUGACGGUAUCUAACCAGAAAGCCACGGCUAACUACGUGCCAGCAGCCGCGGUAAUACGUAGGUGGCAAGCGUUGUCCGGAUUUAUUGGGCGUAAAGCGAGCGCAGGCGGUUUCUUAAGUCUGAUGUGAAAGCCCCCGGCUCAACCGGGGAGGGUCAUUGGAAACUGGGAGACUUGAGUGCAGAAGAGGAGAGUGGAAUUCCAUGUGUAGCGGUGAAAUGCGAGAUAUAUGGAGGAACACCAGUGGCGAAGGCGGCUCUCUGGUCUGUAACUGACGCUGAGGCUCGAAAGCGUGGGGAGCAAACAGG
rnacentral:rRNA from 1 species